CUAUUUUGUUGGCUAUAUAUGUAUACAUUUUCUGAGGUUUGAUCUGCUAUAAUUUGGUCAAAUUGGGUAUUAUUGAUUAGAUACUGUGUGUGCUUAUUAUGGAACUGAUAUUUGGUAGGCAUAGAGUCAAGCCUUAAAUAAAGAUCUAAGGAUCCUGCUCUCCUCCAAUAAUGACUCAGUGAUCAGAAGUUAGACUCAACCUGACCAUAUGCCUUAGAACAAUGAAGAUGAAUCUUUUAGAGACUGAGUGCCCAAACUGCAACCCUCAUACCACAGAAUAGAAUAGCCAAGUUUUGGAGCCAAGCCAACUGCUUCUUCUCCUGACAUGAAUUAGUAACCUUUGGAGAUGGGAUGAAUAAGAAGAGUCUCAAGAUGUCUAUUGUGUUACCCUUAACAUCAUACAAUGACAGACUUCGUGCUACACAUGAUGCUUCCUUGCCACAGGAGAGAAAUAUCUGAUCAACCUGUCACCCUUGGCUUGCUCAGGCAAGAGAGCAAGAUUAACUGUCUCCCCCUGGAAUCUCCUCUUCCCUCAAGAUCCCAAACCUUCUUCACCAUCCCCCGCUGUGGAUACAAACCUCAGCAUGUCCUCCAGGCUCUGUCCCUCAGAGUCUCUGGAUCAUUCCUCUGUCAUACCAGUAACAGCCUCUGUGUCCAGUCUCUGCUCUUGGAAGAGUUUGAAGUGGAAUGUUGGCCCUGCAACCUCUCAUGCAUCCAGCUUUGCAAAAUCCCUUUCCUACAGUAUUGAUUGUAAGAGAGAAGCAGCUUCAACUAUGAGAUUGGAAGAGGCAAUGGAAUGGAACAAAAAAGAGAGCAUAUCUUCAACAGAGGAAAAGUUGGAGACACUGGAAGCACAAAUUGAGGGAGAUUUCAACUCACACUCUUAUGCUGCUUAUUUAGCAUAAUAUGUUUACUGUUAAUGAAUGUUUAACAUUCUAGUCUGGUUAGGCCAGUCUAAUGAAUAUAACCGUCUUUAAACUGUAGAUCGCUUUCAAUGAAAAUGUGAUAACAUAGCAAGAUUAUACAUUUCAUAUCCUUAAAACAAAUAAUCUCACUUCUGGGCUUAUACUCAUGAGGAUGUCAAAGGCUAGAAAUAAAAUUCCAAU
rnacentral:lncRNA from 1 species